GGGGAAGUUGAUGCCGCAUGGGAACACCCCUCCCCCCCCAAAAAAAAAACAUUUCAAAGAUUGUUUGGUGCCGGCAGAAAUUAAGUUCUAGAAUGGGAACAAAAAGCAAACUUGAUUUAAAUCAUGCCAUUUGCGUUUUUGUAAAGGGACAAAUAUUUUUUUAAGCCGCAUCCAAAAAUGUCAAAAGAUGUUAAUGUUUAGAUUUGCUCAUUUAACAAUAAAUUCAGGAUCUGUUCCUAAUAUUAUGACCCACUCAUACGGCUAACAUCAAUGCAACGCGGAUAACUUCAUAGUGAUGGACAUAUUUUAACAAAGGUGUGCUUUUUAAACUUGCAGGUGUACCUAAUGAAAUGGCCCCGUCUCCGGGCUAAUGAAAGACCCACUCGAGGAUCCAUCGAACUGUGACCCCUACCCCCUCCCCAAACGAGACACCCCACCCCAAGCCUUCAUACACGUCAUCCAUAUUUCAUGCAGCAUCCCUCUCUUUCUCUCUCUCUCAUCUCCGUCUUGUGGACUUCUCGCACCCUCACACAUUCUAUUAGACAAUCCGUGCGCCAUGUUUUAUUCAUGUCCUCUGAACAUCUGCUUGUCCAGAUGUCAGGAAUCAUCAGACACCCACCACCCCGCCUUCCCUCUCCUCAAGGGACCGCUGCCUUGACUGGCUGUAAAUGAACGUCAAAAGCGGCUGUCAGGCCCGCCGGAGGAAUCUUUCAUGACUUUUGGGCCCGAGUAACGGCGGUUGGUGGGCUUUUGACACGGCCGUGGUCCACGAGGCUUGCCCGACUCACUGGAACUGUGUGGAGAAAAAAAAAAAAAAAGGGAGUGAAAAAGAAAAGAGGCAAACAAGUACCCUCGGACUGACUCACAGCCACGGCAACUUUUCGGGACGAUUCGAUGACGAGUGCUGGGAAGUUUGUGGGCCAUCUAUCUCCUCACCUGGCAGCGAGAUUUUCCUCACAUGAUAAAUUGGACUCAGGGAGCCACUGAGGUGUGACCCGGUGCCAGACGACCGGCACGGAUUCUCUUUAUUUAUUUAUUCUUUUUGUGCUUUAAUAUCCCUAAUUAGUCUCUUACAGAUUGCUGGUGCCCAAUGUUGUCAAUGA